rnacentral:lncRNA from 1 species
CUAUCAGACAUCUGUUUGUUCCCUAAAACUAAGGAAUCUUUAUGUCCCUAGGCAGACCCCAGUAUGAUCACCCCAUGCCUGAGUGACUAACUCUGUUUUAAAAAGUAUAAAAUCCCCAGAACUGAUGUCAUCUGGGGGAACAGCCUUUCCUUUCAUGCUGUCCUCCCAGGGAACUGCUCCCCAUCUUGCUGUUCCACCUUGCUAUCCUCCUGGCCACUCUCAACAUUACUUUCUAAAUUAAUGAAUCUCCUUUUUGUUUUUAAGCUAAGUUUUGGAGUCUUGCAUGCUUGCAAAAGGCAUCCUUCCCAAACCCCAAGGUAUCCUUCCUACCCAUAACACUACUACUGCAAGAUUGAGAUUUCUGAGAUCCAACAACAAGAACCCGACAGGACAUGGCCCACCAGCUGCCAUUCAGCAAAGAGUAUCCAUGCCCUCCCCUCCUGUUCGUCCUGCACUCCAAUUUCCUCUCAGAGAAGAAGCCUCUUGAGGCUGAUAAGCAAACCUCACCAUCUGCUGAAAACAUAGGACCCAAAGGGUUGAGAUGCACAAGAGACUUGAAUAAAGGACCCCAUUCAAUUGCUGCUUCUGAACAAUCAGGAGUGUGUCUUGUGAUAGCGUAAAAUGCCAACCACCCCAUAGACCUAUUUCCUUUAUUGCUUCAGUGAUAAAGCGGCUGAGCGGUUGUUACAGAUAAGGCAGUUUUGUGUGCACUGUGCAUACAGAAUAGACUUUACUGGGAACAGUAGAGAGAGCGAGCAGGAUUUGGUUGGGUGGGUGUCCAACAAGAGAGGACCUGAGGUCUUUGGCAAGUGCACCAUGAACUGGCUCAGCUACCUCCUCCUGCCUGCCCUCUACCACCUCUGCAGGGCUGAAUUCACACAGCCCUCUGACAAGGGGGUCGAAGAAGGGGCAGACGUGGAAUUACAAUGUCAACACGACAUUCCUGGUGGAAAUUAUGACUCCAUCUACUGGUACCUCCAGAAGGCCAAUAAGAAGCUCACGUAUAUCUAUCAUGGAUUUCAAGGCACCACAGAAAUUGGGCGUUACCAGAUAAAUGUGGAUCGGAAAAAAUGCUCCAGCAAAUUAAUCAUCAGAAAUGUGCAUCUAAGUGACAUAGCUGUAUAUUACUGUGCUUUACAAGGAAGGCACUGUGAUUCAUGCCACAUACAGCUCUGAGCAAAAACUACGUUUCAAGUGUGAUACAGAACAAAGAAAACCCACCAUCUCAGAGAAUGAACCAGCAUGACCCAAAGGGGGUCUAUGUUCUUUCAAAUUUUCCCUUUCAUUCAACCACCAUUUGAAGAAAUAAACAGCUGGUUAUGAAGAUGGUGUCA